rnacentral:rRNA from 1 species
AGCUGUCCCGCCAGGGGCAUCGCUCGGUAGCGAAGUCUGGAAGAGAUAAUUGCUGAAUGCAUCUAAGCAAGAAGCUCGCCCUAAGAUAAGUUCUCCCAAUCCGCUUCGGCGGAUAAGAAGGGCAGUCGAAGACUACGACUUUGAUAGGCUGGAGGUAGAAGCACAGCAAUGUGUGAAGCUGACCAGUACUAAUCGCCCGUUCGGCUUAAUCAUAAAAC